UGCAUCAACGAAGUCAGCGAGCCUGACCACCCAAUCUCGGUAGUCGCCUCUUACGACAAGCAUAGUCGCCUUUUACGGCAAGCAUGGGUUGUUGAAGACCUAUUCUACCCUGGAUCUUCAAGGGUCUGCUUUCAAAACAGAAUGUAGAUAAGUUGCUUUUAGGUUGAAAGGGAGAGAACUGCGUAAUACUGAAGCUAUUGAGCUGUUGCUGUAUGCUAUGAACCACCUGACAAAUUGUGUCCAAACAGAUGUAACACAAGGACAAAUUAUUCAGAAGAUAAAAUAAUUAUAUCAAUCUUGCUUUUAUAUAUUUGUGAUAUACAUGUCAAACAGUUGGAAUCCUGGUUUGGAGAUCAACAAAUUGUCAAGAGUGUUUGUUGUUUAGUAUCACAAAUGGCAUUAAUGAUAAAAAGAGACAACUUCAUUUUAUUAAAAUGCUAAUUUUCUUUGGGAAAUAUUUUUUAUGAAUUCAUCAUUUUUUUUAAAAAUGAAAUGAAAUUGCGUGUCAUUUCUCAUAUAUACUGUGUAGCCUUGUUUAUACUGGUAUUUUAGUAAUAUACAUGAUAUUCCAACUUUUAUCAAGACUGUCAAUAUUCUCUUAUGAACCAAUAACCUUUUGACAGUGUUUUUUUUUUUAAGAAUGAAAAAAACAACUGUUAUAUCUUCGUUUUGGGGGAAUACCAAGAGAGCAUAGUUAUAUAUAUUUUUCAAAGACAGAAUGGGAUAUUAUAAUUUUAUCAAUUAACCUUGUUAUUGUUUGUGAUCAUGAAUUAAAACUUUUCCAUGUGUACACACUAAUGACCCUGCAUUUACAUAGAAAGGUGAUCAAACAUGAUGAGAAAAGAAAAAUGCUAUGAUGUUUCUAAGAAUAUAUUGAAAUCAGAAAGAUCUGACUUUAUUAAUAUCUUUUUCUAGAUUUAUCUGGAAUAUUUCUGCAAUUCACACUGUGCAUGCAAGUCAAAUGUUUGGUGACCUGUAAAAUUCAGAGAAAUUCAAUUUUCUGAAUAUGAUUUGCAUAUAUUCAGAUACUCAGAAAUAAUAUGCAAAUUUCUAUCACACUUUGUGAGCUCACUAAACAUAGUUGUGCUAUUUAUAGAUUUUAUACAAAGUAGAUUGUAGUCAUCAAUAGUGAUGUGUUGAAAUUUUGAAAAAUGUCUUAUUUGGUAUAUCGUUGAUGAGGUUUAUUCCUUUUAAACAUAGCAAAUUUUAUUGAAUCUCAUUUUCUUGAUUUUUGUGUGAAUAAAAUUUUGUGCAUUUACUGAUGUAUGUAUAUUGUCCUGUUAAUGGCGUCUUGCUUUUUGUAUUGAAAUAUUGAAGUUAGAUGUAUCAAUAUCAAUGGAAAGUAGAUUUCUGUGAUCCAGUACAGAUUGCAAUGACUAGAUAACAAGUGUGAAUGAUUUACUCUCUCCUUUCACUGCACAACAGGCCACGCAUGUUGAUCAUAUGUCUUUCCUGGUCAGUAGAAUUCAGUUUUCUUUCUUUUCUCUUUCACUACGGGGGCGGUCCGGUAGCCUAGUGGUUAAAGCGUUCGCUUGUCACACUGAAGACCCGGGGUCGAUUCCCGACAUGGGUAAAAUGUGUGAAGCCCAUUUCUGGUGUCCCCUGCCGUGAUAUUGCUGGAAUAUUGCUACAAGCGGCGUAAAACCAUACUCACUCACUCUUUCACUACAACUUGAUUUGCAAUUAGAAACCUAUUUGAAAACGAUCUGCUUAUAGAAAAUAAUGUCAUCCUUAUCAAGUUUUGUUUAAGUCUCACAUGAAGCUGGUCUAGUACAUGAUGUCAAUACAAAGUAGUCUGAUUUUAUACACAGGGUAGAUGAAACAUGUUUCCACUCUAUCAUAUUAUUUCAGCAUUAUCUUAUUCAUUCAGACAACUCUAUUAAAUUCCCAUCCGUAGACUAUUUCAUACCCAUUACAUAUAUCAUACAUGAAUGUGUCUGCAUUAUUAUCUCAGUCAUAAGCGUAAGGUGCUUAUAAGCAUAUAUGGAUAAUUAGAGCAUUAAGUGAUGGCAUUCAAAAUAUUCAUGAAAAAAAGGUUUGCAAUAGGAGUGGAUUAAUCAGGUUAAUUGCUGCAUUCUGUAUCAUUUCUUCGUAUGAAUAGAAAGGGGCACAGUUGGUCCAGUCUUAGAUGCCUCAUUACGCGGUGCAGAGUUGCAUCCCUUAGGCAUGCCAGGAUCCUGAACAUGAGUUCAAGUCCCAGAUUCAUGCUGAUUCUGGUCAUUGGUUUGUCGGCACCAUAGCCUUGCUUUCGGUUUUCUCCAAAGUGGUAAACGUUGUAAGACCCGUGUCACUUUGGGGUCACCGAUGGACCUGUUCUAUAAUCAGUUUGACUUUUGUCCAAAUACUAUCUGUAUGUUUUUCAUGGCUAUCACCAAGUCACAGAUGUUGUGUCUGCAGAAGUUUCUAGACUAAAACUUGCUGUUUGAUGUAUUUAUAUCGACAGACAAUGAUUUAGUUUGGUAUGGAUGAGUUUUAGGGAUAUUUUAUUUAACCGUAUAGUGAUUAAUCUUAUUAAGACACUUAAGUUUAUUUGCUUGUUUCAAACAUUAUCACAUUAUCAAAGCCACUUAAAAAAGGUUAAGAAAACAAGUGAUAAUGAUAUCAUUAUAUAUGCGCCAUUCAGUAUUUCUUAGUAUUGUUACUUUUCUUUUUAUCUAUAUAGUGCUUUUGCAAUAAGGACGUUAACUGCCAUCCUUUGAAGUGUACACUGGGUAGUAACAUUGUCAUAGUCACUCUGUAGCAUCCAGACUUGAAUAUCAACCUUCAUUACAUUGUUAGGAUGACCUUGACAUUCCAAAUAAUAUCACCAAAAUAUGACAUUUACCAAAUAUAUAUCUGUUAAAAUUAACCAAUGUAAACAAUUUAGGCAAUCAUAUUAUGCAUUAGAACCAUGUUUGUGAGGUCCUUAUGUUUAUGCCUUAAGCCAGACUUUUUUUAAAACUUUGUUUAUGAAUCUGCCGAAUUAAAUAUGUUGAAAUGUGAAGGGAAAAAAUGAAAAGCAGUAGUUUUGGGAGGGAGAGCCAACCAGAAAUAAGUAAAAUGUUUUAACCAAACAAAUGUUCUAUCGCUAUAAAUAAAUUAUUUAUUAUAUAUACUAUAAUUAGAGUCAACUUAACAUUGUUAGGAAAUCAAAAAAUAUAUUUGAAAUUGGAUUAUUUUUUAACUAGUUUUUCAUUGACCUCCAGACCUGAGUGUUUUGGCCAAACAUCUGUACACCAAAGAAGUCAGGUCUAAGUUGGGAUGGUUGUCUGUCAUGUAGGACUAGUCAGGUCUGACCACAACCAUGCAAUAUACAUGUACAUUGAAAACUAGGGGAGACUACUCUAUAGAUUUCACAGAACAUAGUCAUAUCUUUGAGAUGUUUAUAUUUUUACUUUUACAUGGUGUAAAUGAAGUUUACUGUUUAGUUGGUAGUCGUCAACCAGUAGAUCUGGAUGUGGGAAGUUCAGUGAUGGACAUGUUGGUUCAAGAUGUCACAGCCCAUACCACAGAGGAUACAACAUACCUACACUCAUUUGUUCAAUAUCUUUGUUCACCAUUGUGUUCCGAGUUAAGGCAAUGUGGCAAAAUUAUUUUCAUUACUUUGAUUUGUUCAUUCAAACUUUGUCUGAUAUGAAGACAUUUACAUGAUUUUCUUUUUCUCUGAAAGCAUUUUCACGACACAAAAGUGAGAUGUGUGACAUACUUACAUUGUUUGCACCGAGUCUUCAUGGAGCCCUGUGUAGUGAUUGAAGGAAGGUCCUAAUUCAUUAUUCCUUUGUGUCCGAUGACAGUACAUCCAUGGAGAGUAGGAGUCACAACUUAUCAACCCGGGAAGUCUUUUAUGACCUGUCAGAGAGCCCUUAUAAGUUUUCUAUUUCUUUUCGAAAUGCUACAAGUACCGGUAUGAUCUCAUCUUUGUGAUCUGUUUUUAUCAUUCAAUCAAAGGGAUAGAUAUUCAUGAAUCUUUCAGAUUUAGAUACCCGAUGAUAAAAUGUAUUCUAUUGAAAUAAUAUCUGCUAGCCUAUCUGUGUGUAAUGACCCUGUCAUAUUGUUAUAUUUCCAUAUGCAACACGCAUAAUGUGCUAUCAUGUUCGCUGUGUCAAAACAACAACUUUUUUGUAAUUUUAGUUUAUAUGUUUUUAAGAAGUGGUUCAUAAGAACGAAAUCAGUUUGUUGAUAUUUCAGUCUAUUUGCAUACAUGAUAAUAUUUUAGAGGACAUGGUCCUAUACUUAGUUGUUCCGAUUGUAUUUGAACUUUUGACAAAGUUUGUGAAAAAAUAUGUUAAAAUCCAAAAUAAUCUUUUUGGGCAUGUUGUACAAAUAAAAGGUUUUCUUUGAAUUGCAAGUAGUGUUUACAACAAUUUGAAAAAAACACACAACAUGUUCCUCAUAAACAUGAUGAAAGUUAGUUGAAAACAAACACUGUACAGAAAACAUUAGAGAGAGUGCAUAGGUUAUAUGUAAAUGAUUAUGUUUAUUGAUAUGUUUAAGUAGCGGAGUGUGUAGGUUUUGACCCAACUCAAUACUUGUGAUUUAUGCCUGAUUCUAUUUUAGUUCAUGUGGAUAUUAUCAUAGAAAGAGCACCCAAUGGUCUAAGGUGUCAGGAGUCCCUGGUCGUCAUUGUGAUUAACAACUAUCAUAAUGACUUAAGAUAUACAUAAGUCAUCUGAGGCGCCGCGAUUCGCUGUGCAGAGUUGCGUCCCUUGGGCACGCCAGAAACCUAUGAUUGUGGGUUCGAAUCCCGGUUUCUAGGUUUGUCAGCACCAUGUUGUGGGUUUCACCGAAGUGGUAAACGUCUGAGACCUGCAUCACUUCGGGCUUUCCUCCCACAUUAAGCUGACACGCUGUGAUAUAACUGGAAUAUUGUUAAAAGCGGUGUUAAACCCAGCUCACUCACUAAGAUAUACAUAGGGACAAUCAGAAAAUAUAAUGUUAAAAAGGUUCCAUGUCUAAUAUGUAAUGAUUGCUGUAAUCACUCAUCAAUAUUAAGUUACUAAACAUUGAAGAAAAGACAAAGAUUGGGGGUAGAUUUGAACUCGAUUCAGUUUUACACUAUGAGCAUUGUAGCAAAAAUCACGGGUCAUAUAUCAGAGAUAUUUGUCGAAUAAGCAUGUCCAAAAUUAAGGUAUGGGCAACUGAUAUGUUAUAUAUCCCACAUGCAUAGAUAAUUAUUAUGUAUAAAAUAUUAUACAGCUGUAUACAAUGUGUAGACACUAUCAGCUCCUGGUAGUCACAUGUCUACAUGUGUGCUAGUCAAUUUGCUCAUUUUUCCAGGAUUUUGUAUGAUAGUGGAAGAGGCACGCUCACGUAGGGUACCAGUCAAUUAACUUAUUAUAUACACCAAGUAUUUAGUCACUGGUUUAGAGCACUUAGUCAAAUAAACAUACAUCAAAUUUUAGUUGAUUUUUUUAGCAAAACCAGUUUUAACCAUGUCGAUGCUGGUCAAUAUUCUGUUUAGUGGUUCCCAUCUUGUGAUAUUUGCAAAUAUUUUUCGUAAAUAUGCCCCAUAUAUGCAUAUACAAAUGUCCUAUAUUUUCACUUUUUGUAUAUUUUUGUUUGUAUAAUAUUCUCCUCAAAACUGAUGUACAUUUCCUCAAAAUGUGUCAUAUAUGUCCUUAGUGAAAAUGUUUCUGUGUAUAUUUAAAUCAUAAUCAUUUGUUGAUCGGUGUGAAAUAUGUUUCUUAGCUUAGAAAUGUCAACCAAAAUGUCUCCCGGAGUGUUGAGCUGCUACGCAAUGAAAGCUAUAUUAUGUAUGACUGAAAGGAACUGUUUUGUUGGGCAUGAGAAAACUUCUGCCUUUUGCCAUGUUGUCUUUCUGCUUCAAGUCAUCAUAUAUGUUGUUGAUGUUAUUCCCUGUUGAAAUGUUUUAUUUGUACAUCCAAAGGAGUCUUUCUUUCACCUUAAGACCAAUGGCACAUUAAUGGUACAGUCUGAGUGAUCUCCCCUUGUCCCCCUUUCUGACCUUCAAUCCCACCCCUCCCCCUCCCCCAACCAAAGCAAGAUGUUCGCUUCAUUGUCUCAGUACUUCAUAUCCAGAGUAAAAUUUUAAUACCUAUCUGAA